ensembl:lncRNA
GCCACAUAGCUGUGACAGAGAAGUAGAUUUUCAAAGAAGUAAUGUUGCAAGUUUUUCUUAAAAAAGUUUUUUUUAAAGAAUAUGUCUUUUGUCUCACUAAACUCUCAAUUUCUUUCUGAUUUUUCUAAGUUUACCUGAAAGAAGAAAUUCUUUCAUCUUUUCUGAAUUGGUUUAGCAAUUUAGAGGAAAAGUUGGCUGAUAAAUCAUCUCUGUAGAGAAAAAUGAAGCUUCUCUUAAUUCAAGGAAAAAAUAUGUAAAGUCUUUUUUGCAGAAAACAGUGAUGAAAGAACUUCUGUGGAAAGGAAAAGACGGACAGACAGGAUGCAUAGCAGAGGAUGAGGAGCUGCUGAACUGGAACAAGUGACUUCUCAUGAAAUGAUGGGCUUACAUAUUGAAUUGAGUUUAUGGAGCUCAGACUAUUAUUUUACUUAUUAUGCUUGCAGGCCUAAAUCAAUUCCACCCAUGAAAUGUUUGAUUUUAAUAUGUUAGAUUCUCUCCUGCAGGUUUCUCUAUCACUGUCUUUGUCUCUCUUGCUUUCUCUCACUCCCCAAACCCAUCUCCUCCUUAAUCUUUUCAUUCCAAAAGUAGCACCUCUCUAGCUGUACAGUAACAAAACAAAAGGAGAAUAUACAGCAAGCUAUAGUAGUGAAUGGGAUCAUCAAUUAAAAAUGUUUUGAAACUGUGAGUAUAUAAACUAUUUUAAAGCUCUCUAGGGCACUUUGUAAAAAGAACAACAACAAAAAUUAUUUCUACUGUAUUUAUUCUGCUUCACAAUCAAAGGUUAUUUGUUUAUUUAUUUAUUUAUUAGAUUAAAUCUAUUUGUUAGGCAAAAAUUAGAUAUGGUAAUAAACUGAGGAUGAUAGUCUAUUUGUCAUCAAUACUUAACCCCCUCGAAAGAAAGAAGAAAUAAAUGCUGGGCCACUGAUAGUGAAUCAAUAGUGUUAUCUUCAUUUGCAAAGGACAGCACAUUAGAACAUGUUGAUUUAGAGUUCCUUGUUCUUGUUGAAUAAACACACCAGUGGCUAAUCAUUUGCUACUAAAUAUAUUUUUCAAAGGUGAACAAAGGAAGUAGAUAAUUUGAUGAUCCUUAAUGAAGCUCAUAACACAGUAUUUUUAAUACUUUUAUAAGCCUUUGUUUAUGAAAGCUAAAUGAGUAUAGAUCUCUGAUGGAAAGAUUCCCACCCCCACCCCCGUCAUCUGUGAGUGAUUCUGGCUAGUAAAUUGUAUGCUGUCCUCUACAUCGCCUUGUAAAUGACCUUAACCCUGACCUUGACACAGCAGUAUUUCUAAGACACAAUAAUAAUUUAUUCUCCAUGUUAGAUGAACUAAGCUCCUGGUGGUUCUCAGCUAUAAUUUUCUAUUAUUUGCC